ACCCUGCUAGCUCCUGCUCCCUGCCCUCCGCUCUAUCAUCUGCCCUGACCUGCGUUCUUUUCGACGUCGCUUCUCAGGGUUGGGAUCAAUUCUUCAGUCAAGUCCUCGUGUGGAGUGAAAGGCGAGACUUGGACGACUCGUGCGAGCGGGUGAGAGCUCGCGCAGUAGCGCUGCAAGCAGCCGAGGCCGAACAGCAACGCCUGCAACUCUCUGUCCUCCUGAAGCAGAAAGAGGAUAUUCUGCUAGAUGAGGAGCAGUUACACAUCAUACUUAAAGCUCAGGAGCAACGGGAAAUUUUAUCAGGCAAGUUGGACGUGUGUCGAAGAGAAGCGCUGGACGUGGCACGUCAGUGCUCGGUGUACGACGUCGUGUCUGCAGCGUCACGACGCGUCUACUCAGUGCUCAUGUCUAUGGCUGAAUUUCGUUCAGUCAAACAGGAUUUUUUGAACGUUCACCCAUUGAGCCUUACGGACUUUAGCACCACGAUGCUCAGCGAUAUUCU